AGAGUUUGAUCCUGGCUCAGAUUGAACGCUGGCGGAAUGCUUUACACAUGCAAGUCGAGCGGCAGCGCGGGGCAACCUGGCGGCGAGCGGCGAACGGGUGAGUAAUGCAUCGGAACAUGUCCAUGUCGUGGGGGAUAGCCCGGCGAAAGCCGGAUUAAUACCGCAUACGCCCUUAGGGGGAAAGCCGGGGACCGCAAGGCCUGGCGCGAUUGGGUUGGCCGAUGUCCGAUUAGCUAGUUGGCGGGGUAAAAGCCCACCAAGGCGAUGAUCGGUAGCUGGUCUGAGAGGAUGAUCAGCCACACUGGGACUGAGACACGGCCCAGACUCCUACGGGAGGCAGCAGUGGGGAAUUUUGGACAAUGGGGGAAACCCUGAUCCAGCCAUUCCGCGUGAGUGAAGAAGGCCUUCGGGUUGUAAA
rnacentral:rRNA from 1 species